GACGUAGGGGGCAAGCGUUGUCCGGAAUUAUUGGGCGUAAAGCGCUCGUAGGCGGAUCGGUAAGUCUGUAAGGAAAGACCCGGGCUCAACUCGGGGAACGGCAUAGAUACUGCUGAUCUUGAGACAGUCAGAGGAUGAUGGAAUUCCAGGUGUAGCGGUGAAAUGCGUAGAUAUCGUAAGGAAGACCAGUGGCGAAGGCGGGUCUCUGGACAGUUCCUGACGCUGAGGCACGAAGGUCAGGGGAGCAAACGGG
rnacentral:rRNA from 1 species